rnacentral:sRNA from 1 species
CUGGUUUGGCCUGACUGCUCCUAGCCGGGUGGUGGGUAGAGGAGAAGGCGGCUUUCGCGCCCCCAGACUCGGGUCUGGCUUGACCUGACUAGGCCACCGACCCCUCUUGUUGAAAAUAUACGCAUUACUUGGGUUUAUAUCCCCUUCGCGCCCGUUUCUAUGGGAAUACCCUGCCAUACUCUGCCUGUGUUUCCCCGGCGGUGUUGCCAGGGUUCGUGCACCUCCAAUAUACCACACCCAUCUACCUGCUCUGAACGGGAACAGCCUGGGUUCGAUUCGGGGCCUUCCCACUCGUUUUCUUUGAUCUCUUUAUGCCUUUCUCUGGACUCCUCUCUGUGUGACACAUUUCCCUUGGAUCCAUUAGACCAAGGGGCCUCCGGCUUGGAUCCCCAACAGUUCAACAGUUCAUCCCCCUUUUUAACAAUAUCCAUCAUAUCUACAAACUAUUCUUUCCCCCA